rnacentral:rRNA from 1 species
AACGAACGCUGGCGGCGUGCUUAACACAUGCAAGUCUAACGGGGAUGUUGGCUUCGGCUGACUAGUACCGUGGCGAACGGGUGAGUAACACGUGGGUAAUCUACCCUCGAGCUCGAGAUAACCUUGCGAAAGCGAGGCUAAUACCGGAUAAGACCACGCCCUGCACGCAGGGUGCGGUCAAAGGUGGCCUCUUCUUGAAAGCUAUCACUUGAGGAUGAGCCCGCGGCCUAUUAGCUAGUUGGUAGGGUAAUGGCCUACCAAGGGGACGAUGGGUAGCCGGCCUGAGAGGGUGUACGGCCACACUGGCACUGAGACACGGGCCAGACUCCUACGGGAGGCAGCAGUGGGGAAUUUUGCGCAAUGGGGGAAACCCUGACGCAGCAACGCCGCGUGAGUGAUGAAGGCCUUCGGGUUGUAAAGCUCUUUUAGUGGGGAAGAAGCCCUCCCUGGCUAAUAUCCAGGGGGUCUGACGGUACCCACAGAAAAAGUUCCGGCUAACUACGUGCCAGCAGCCGCAGUAACAC